rnacentral:tRNA from 1 species
GCACCCUUGGCACAAUUGGAUAGCGCAUCGGUCUACGGAACCGAAGGUUGCAGGUUCGAACCCUGCAGGGUGUA